UACGGAGGGGGCAAGCGUUGUUCGGAAUUACUGGGCGUAAAGGGCGCGUAGGCGGCCUGCUAAGUCGAACGUGAAAUCCCCGGGCUCAACCCGGGAACUGCGUCCGAUACUGGUUGGCUUGAAUUCGGGAGAGGGAUGCGGAAUUCCAGGUGUAGCGGUGAAAUGCGUAGAUAUCUGGAGGAACACCGGUGGCGAAGGCGGCAUCCUGGACCGGCAUUGACGCUGAGGCGCGAAAGCCAGGGGAGCAAACGGG
rnacentral:rRNA from 1 species